GACGAACGCUGGCGGCGUGCUUAACACAUGCAAGUCGAACGGAAAGGCCCUGCUUUUGUGGGGUGCUCGAGUGGCGAACGGGUGAGUAACACGUGAGUAACCUGCCCUUGACUUUGGGAUAACUUCAGGAAACUGGGGCUAAUACCGGAUAGGAGCUCCUGCUGCAUGGUGGGGGUUGGAAAGUUUCGGCGGUUGGGGAUGGACUCGCGGCUUAUCAGCUUGUUGGUGGGGUAGUGGCUUACCAAGGCUUUGACGGGUAGCCGGCCUGAGAGGGUGACCGGCCACAUUGGGACUGAGAUACGGCCCAGACUCCUACGGGAGGCAGCAGUGGGGAAUAUUGCACAGUGGGCGGAAGCCUGAUGCAGCAACGCCGCGUGCGGGAUGACGGCCUUCGGGUUGUAAACCGCUUUCGCCUGUGACGAAGCGUGAGUGACGGUAAUGGGUAAAGAAGCACCGGCUAACUACGUGCCAGCAGCCGCGGUGAUACGUAGGGUGCGAGCGUUGUCCGGAUUUAUUGGGCGUAAAGGGCUCGUAGGUGGUUGAUCGCGUCGGAAGUGUAAUCUUGGGGCUUAACCCUGAGCGUGCUUUCGAUACGGGUUGACUUGAGGAAGGUAGGGGAGAAUGGAAUUCCUGGUGGAGCGGUGGAAUGCGCAGAUAUCAGGAGGAACACCAGUGGCGAAGGCGGUUCUCUGGGCCUUUCCUGACGCUGAGGAGCGAAAGCGUGGGGAGCGAACAGGCUUAGAUACCCUGGUAGUCCACGCUGUAAACGGUGGGUACUAGGUGUGGGGUCCAUUCCACGGGUUCCGUGCCGUAGCUAACGCUUUAAGUACCCCGCCUGGGGAGUACGGCCGCAAGGCUAAAACUCAAAGGAAUUGACGGGGCCCCGCACAAGCGGCGGAGCAUGCGGAUUAAUUCGAUGCAACGCGUAGAACCUUACCUGGGUUUGACAUGGAUCGGGAGUGCUCAGAGAUGGGUGUGCCUCUUCUGGGGUCGGUUCACAGGUGGUGCAUGGCUGUCGUCAGCUCGUGUCGUGAGAUGUUGGGUUAAGUCCCGCAACGAGCGCAACCCUUGUUCACUGUUGCCAGCACGUUAUGGUGGGGACUCAGUGGAGACCGCCGGGGUCAACUCGGAGGAAGGUGGGGAUGACGUCAAGUCAUCAUGCCCCUUAUGUCCAGGGCUUCACGCAUGCUACAAUGGCUGGUACAGAGAGUGGCGAGCCUGUGAGGGUGAGCGAAUCUCGGAAAGUCGGUCUCAGUUCGGAUUGGGGUCUGCAACUCGACCUCAUGAAGUCGGAGUCGCUAGUAAUCGCAGAUCAGCAACGCUGCGGUGAAUACGUUCCCGGGGCU
rnacentral:rRNA from 1 species